GUGGGGAAUAUUGGACAAUGGGCGAAAGCCUGAUCCAGCAAUGCCGCGUGAGUGAAGAAGGCCUUCGGGUUGUAAAGCUCUUUUACCCGGGAAGAUAAUGACUGUACCGGGAGAAUAAGCCCCGGCUAACUCCGUGCCAGCAGCCGCGGUAAUACGGAGGGGGCUAGCGUUGUUCGGAAUUACUGGGCGUAAAGCGCACGUAGGCGGUCUUUUAAGUCAGAGGUGAAAGCCCGGGGCUCAACUCCGGAAUUGCCUUUGAAACUGGAAGACUUGAACACGGGAGAGGUGAGUGGAAUUCCGAGUGUAGAGGUGAAAUUCGUAGAUAUUCGGAGGAACACCAGUGGCGAAGGCGGCUCACUGGACCGUUGUUGACGCUGAGGUGCGAAAGCGUGGGGAGCAAACAGGAUUAGAUACCCGUGUAGUCC
rnacentral:rRNA from 1 species